CUACCCUUACAUGAGUCAGGGUGAUCAUCACCUAUGGAUUUGAGUCGCCGCUCUCCCCAAAUCGCGCCGCCACCACCGUCACCGGGUCACGCCGCCACCGCCGCCCUCCCCAGAUCGCCCCACAACCGCCGCCGCACUCCACGGUCACACCGCCACCGCCGCUCACUCCCCAAAUUGCGCCGCCACCGCCACCUCGUGCUUCAUCCUUUCUACUGCGCCCCUGCUCCUCGACCACCGACGGCGACGCGCAUCCAUCCUCCUCUGCCCCCACGACCUUCCUUCUCUCCUGCCGUGGCCUUCCUCCUCUCCCGCCGUCGGCGUGAGAGCUGCGCACGCCACCCCGCACUGCCAUCUUCCUCCUCCCGGCUCCGGCGCCACUGUGCGGAGCAGUGUCACCGCGCACAACCUAGUCAUCACUGUCGCCCCUCUUCCUCCAUGAUGUUGUUGCCCUCUUCCUCCAUGCUGCUGCCGCCUUCGAUUCAGCCCCCCGUGCCCGGCAGUCUCCGCAUUGAGCUACCCCGUGCACAUAAGCUGUUUGUGUAUAUGCCCCAAACAAAAAGAAGUUCAAAGUUUGAAUCAAAAAGGGGGAAAAGAGCUCCACUUUAUGAAGAAAACUGAAAGACCAUUGUCACAGGGACGAUCAUGAAGGUCAGAUGUUGAAAAGAAACUGAAGAGUUCCAAGCUCUCUGGAUGUUUCUUGGAUGCAGCGUUCUUCUGUGUGCAGUUGAUGGAAACACUCUGCUGCUGGAAUAAUGAAAUUAACCCCCAACUAGAUCCGAACCUUUUGCUCAUCCCCGACGCGUGAGUACAUCUGAUCGAAGUUCACCUUGUUUAUCUUGAGACGUCCAAGUAUAAUUGUUUAAAAAGGUUCAGUUAUGACCGCAACCGUGGGGUCAGAUAAACUCAACGACUAGGCUACCGCUACCUAUAGCUGAACCUCGACUUGCUGCAGAUGGGCUAGCUGCACUUCAUGUUUACUUCAAAGAAAGGAUACCAUAUGUGCAGUGCCUCCUGUGUGUAUCAGCUAACUAAUAUUUCUGCAAAAAAAUAGUGUUUGUCUACAGCUUGUACGUACAAACAUAGAUUUAGCCCAUUUUGGUACUACAAAUGAAUAGUUUUGUUAGUUCUACUUGUACAUAUUUCAUACAAUUUGUUUCUUUGUCUACUGGUAGCCGUGCCAGAUACGAUGCUACCUGGGAAAUUGUGACGCACCUUCGCUUGGUGCCGCCACAGGACCCAGUGCGCCUCCUGUCCUCUGCUUUUCUCUAUGCGCAGCUAUGUGUCUCACCCCGCCGAUUGCCCCUGCUGCUGCUGGGAACAGUCAAAUUUGUGCAUGGCUUCAGAGACGUUCCAUGAAAUCCCACUACAUCUAUACGUCAUGUUCUUCCGAGAUGUUCCGUGAAGUUCUACUGCGGCUGUCCGUCACUACGGGCGUGUGCCAGUAUGGUGUGCUUGGUUCAUGUGUGCCUUGAAAAGAUCAUGUUUACCUUGCUGGAUGCUGGCCAGCUCGCUCUUUGUGUGUGUUGUUGCUGCUCUAACCACACCUCGAUAAAGGGAGAUAUUUUGGAUUCCAGCUUUUCCUUGUACGUUCAAGUUGGAAGUGAAAAGUAAUUGUAGCAAACUGAAAAAGAAAUGUAUUGUAUGCGUCCCCCCCCCACAUGUUUGUAAUAAACUAAAAAACAGAGUAGUUCAAAAAGUUUAA